rnacentral:misc_RNA from 1 species
GAUUUCUAUAACCAUACAACUGUCUGUCUAUACACAUAAUGGCCUCUAUCCUUCGUUUUCACUUGUAAGGGGGGUUGGACUCUGCUCCCCAAAAAUGGGCUUCAAAAGCUUUCGUCCAUGAGAGUUUGUGGGUGCAUGUGUAUUCCUCCAAGUCCAAACCAAUAUUAUUCCUUGGGUUGGAAAAGGAAAAUAGCACUAAACAAAAAUCAAUCGAGUUGUGUUUCCGCCCAG